UGCGCUGCGUCCAGCGCGCGCGGGGAGGCGGGCGGGGCGCGAGCAGCGCCGGGAAAACCCGGCGUGGAGCCGCCGCCGGAACGGGACUGCGGCCAUGGCGCCUCAGCAAGCCCACCUCGGAGACAUGCCCGUGUUUAAAGAUUUAUCUCAGAGCCUCACGUUUUAUUCAGGGCUUUAGACAUGAGGACACAACCCCGCUGGGACGGGCAGAGCACAUUCUGGCAGAUCUCUGCUGCACUCAGUUGGCUCCUGUGCCAUCCCAGUCAAACUGCACAGCAAUUCCAGGCCACGGCUGAGAACAAAACGGGCCUUUGUCUGCAAGAUUCAGGAGAUGCCAUUCGGUCCAAUCCGCCUACAAAAUCCUUCGUUUGCCAGCACCCAAGGAAAAUGGAAGGGACACAGAUAACACCCAGGACUGCUCACCAGCAGGAACAGAGCAGAGGCCCAGCAACAGCUUUGUGAUUGGUUUGAGGGAAACCGCCUGUGUCUGGCUGACACAUGGAGCUGUUACAGGAGGGGAACGCUCUGGGGAGCUCCUCGGCCUCUGCUGCCUCAUGUUUGUACCAACACUCACCACAGCACCAGUGAUAAUAAUCGCAAACACUCAGGUCAUUUAGAUGGGGGGGAAAAAAAUCCACAGAAGUCUUUUGGUUUCUUCUGGGUGCUCAGUGGCUGACACUGUGUGCAUUGGGAGUUGAAUAAACAUCAAAGAUUGGAAAAGCCUUCCAGGUUUAGGUCUUUCCUCAGCUGAAUAUUAAUGUUAAGCUUGUUCUUUUAGUUACAGAGGGAGCACUCAGGACUGGUCUGAAAAUAGUAAAAAAAUGCAAAUGGAAAGGUAUUUCCUGACAAGAUGGAGUUUUGUAACAGGAAGAAAUAAGAUGACACAGUGCUGUUCUUCAACUAAUUAGGGUAAUCAGCCAAGCACUGAGCAUCCUGAGUGAGUUUAUACCUGAUAUAUGAAUCAAACACAGGAGGAGCACACAUUUGAGAUUGGCAAGGCAGAUGUUCGGCCCUCAUCCAAUAGUCCUUAAACACAUCUGUGUGGUUUGCAGGAGGACAGUGUUUCCUGAGCUGGGAGAGGAUUUCUGUGAACAAAGCCCUCCCUUGUUUAUCCUACCCUGCCUCUCUGAGUACCCAUCGUUAGGAUUUCAGUGCAGGCUUGAUGAAUAUGUUGAUCUUAACAGACCAUGACCUGCUUUACUGACAAAUACCAA